rnacentral:lncRNA from 1 species
GCAGAGUCACGCCUUAGUGGGGUGGCUCAUGGCUCAUGGUCGCUGCUUAGGACCCAUGCAGGGACACGGAGCCUGCCUGGUGCGCGCCCUGCCAGCGGAGGCUGACACGCAGGAAGCUGAUACCAUUACCUCAGCACUGUGUAAUCUGCCAGUGAAUAUGCAUGAGCACCUAAUUUGCAAGGAUUCAGAGAAAACAAUGGGAGCCUACAACAGGAUCAUAAACAAAGGGAAUAACUCACAGCAGCAAUUAGAAGUGUUUGGAGAUAAACUGGGAUGGUUUUUCAAGACCAAGUCUGGACCAAGAGUGAAUGUGAUGAAUCAUGAGACACACAUCUAAUCUUAUUGUUCAGCAAAGGGCAAUAUUUACAGGAUUGCGUGCUUUGCGAUCAAUUAUUGUAUUCAAGGGACAUUCACUUUUUCCGUAAGACUGUACUUCAUUCCUCAG